GGCGGUUGGGGGGGGGGUGUCAAAACAGAUCACUAGGUAAGGUGGGGGAAGCAGACAGUGGGUAGGAAGGCCAUGCUAGAACAGGCAGCCUGGGGCAGCUCCCCAACCAGUGAGUGGAGAUGAGAAGGGACCAUUUUUGAAAGGACAAGGUAGGAACAGGGAACAGAAGAAGCAGGUGAAGCGUAGGGUGGGCUGGAGUGUGGAGCAACAGCGGGAGGAUUCCUGGAAGGUCCCUGUCCAGGGCUGUUGUGGGUUUGACUGGCAUCCCCAGGCUGUGACUGACCGUCCGGGUCUUGCAUGUCCCAGAUGUACAUCUAGGGUCAGAGUGUUUGUCUCCCGCCACCUGCCAGUGUCCUUGACUGGAGUGUGAGGAGCUGUGAAGGCAAAGCAUUGGUAACUCAUCCGGAUGGUGUCUCUGAGUUUUGAAUUCCCAGCCCCUCUUUGCCAGCCGGGGAUCCCCUUAGCUAUGUCCUCUCUGUCAGUCACGGUGCCCAGAUCAAGGUGAGGAGAGAGACCCACCUCGUGAUGAGCCAAGUGACAAAGAAUUUUGGAGCCACUUUUUGUACUGCCACUGUGGGCUGGCAUGUGGCAGGGCCCUGCCACCCAGGCUCAGAUACUGGCUUUACAAUGACAGCUGCAUAAUCCAGAUGCUUGUCUACAAAUUUCUGGAAAACCCUGUUUUCUCCUCUGAAAAAUAUAUACACUAAUAGUUAUUAGCUCAUAAGGUUACUGUAAGAAUUGAAUGAGGUCGUCUCACAAACGUGCUUAGUGUGGUACCUGGCCCAUUGCAAGCAUUCACUAAACCGUAGCUGCUCUAGUGUUUAAAUAGAGACAGUGAUUCGGUAGGUUUUUAUUAAGGAUAAUAUACCACUGCUAGUGCCCUGUGCUCUUUCUUUCUCUCCUGGAGCUGCAGGACUGGACUCUGAGCAGGAUUUAGGUGAGGUGAGCUGAUAUGUGCAGUUUCUCUCUUCUAAGCUAAAUGUGAAAAAGGUAGCAAUGCAAAUGCUUCUUUGACAAAUACAUGUUAGAAUGACAUGAAUUACCUUCAGAUUCUGUAUCAUCCAGCUCUAACAUUUUUACAUGUCAUAAAACCUCAGAAUGUUGGCUAGGAUAAUUCUUUGUGCAUGAAGCUGAAAAAUGAUAGAUAAUUUUUACUUCACAGAGUGUAAAAUUCCUGUAUGUUUUACAGAUUCUCUUAUCUGAACCUUUUAGUAGCACAAUCUAGGGAAAAAUUGUAUUUCUAGUUAAAAAAAGUUGUAAAGAACCUUCUACCCCCACCCCCACUGCCCAAACUGUCAUUUUCAGUAUGUUUCUCUGGAAGGCAAAUGGAUGGUGAGAUUUAGUGAAUAGCACGGUGCCUCACUGUGACCUGGUCCUGGUGUAGCCAGUGCAGACUGUAACGCUCGAGGCUCUAGAAGGUGAUAGUGAAGACUCUAGUAACUUAAAAGAUUAUUCCAGUAACACUGUAUAUGGUCAGUGGAAACAUCAGGUUAAUUUCUAGAUGGUCAUUUCCUGGAAGGUUAAUCUCCACAUUUAACCUGGUUGCAGGGUAAGAGAAGAAUGAGUAAUUCUUUAAUUCAUGAAAAGUUAAGGAAACAAAACCAUAUUUUGCAGUGAUCCUUCUGUGUUUUAUUUUCUUAAAAAGGCGAUGCUUGACUGUCACUUUUCUCUGCUUGCUCUUGAGAAAUAACAAGAUACAAAAUAUUCAUAGAAAAUCCUAGUUCAUUUUAUUAUUGAAUUUUAGGUUCAAAUAAAAUUUUUACUACACAGUUAUCUGGUAAUGAUCAUGCUGUUUUUAUUGAUUGUAUUGUGAUAAUAUGCAGUCUGUGAAAUUUAUGAGACCUUCUGCUAUACCGUAUGCUAGAUAAUGAGGUGGUGCUGUACACAUAGAAGUUUCUUUAUAAAUGACCAUUCUGAUAUUUGGAAAAACUAAACAGACCCUUAGAAGUGAAACAGAAUACAAAACACCUGUUUCAUCUUUUCUGAGCUCAUAGCUUUCCUAUCAUUGUGCAUAAUUUAAUAAGACAUGUUAACAAAUUAGAUGAAGAGAAUUCAAAUUUUACAGAAGAUUUUUUAUUGAGUAAAUGAUAGAUAAAACAAAUUCCAGGACAGAUAAUGAAUAUUAUAAACACGUAAUUUCCUUCCAUAUUUAAUGUAUAUAUCUGAUGUAUUAACUAGCAAAACUGAAAUGAAUUUCUUUUGGACUUGCAUAAAUUUAAUUUAAAAUACACCUUAAAAAUAACAGGGUAAGAAAAGCUAAAUGAAUCUCUGAAUUUUGGGAAAAAAAAGAGAAAGGUAUUUAAUCUACCAGGACAUAUACCUACAGAUGUUCUUUCCUAAAACUGUUCAGACAGAAAUGUAACUAAUGCCAGUAAUUGUUGUCUUGUCAUGUGUUUAAUAUGAUGCACAACCCAGAUCAAAUGUUGUACAGGUAAAAAACAAUCUUCUUCCUUUAAAAUUUUAAAAAUAACAAGUCCAAAUUGCAUUUUCUAUGGAUAGGCCUAAUCUGGGUAAAUCUACCCGAGUGCUAAUACAUUCAGAUUUAGUCAUCUGGGGGUAUUUGGUGUAAUACAAGGUACCUUUUGAUAGUUGUGUGAGUGAUUAGCAUUGUAUAAACACACUCUGGGGGAAGUGGGUUUAGCAACAAAGUAUUUAAAAAUAUACUAAAUCUCCCCCAAAUAUACUGCGUCAGUGAGUAAACUUCAGCCCUACCAAGUUUACCAAUAGACUGGGUUACCAACUUUGUAAAGUACAGCAAGUUCAGGAGGAUGUGUAGUAAUCAGGAGGCCCCUGUGUAAUCUCUCUGGUCUUUAAGCUUCUGGUUUCCUCAGAAUUGCCUGCAUAUAGGUGUAUGACGCAAUGAUAACAAGUAAGCACUAUAAAAUUAUCUAUAGGCAUGUGUUUCCUUAUUUGGGUACAUGAAGGUGUCAUAUACAGAUUUCUUGACCAAAACUUCUAAAGUAAAAACUUGAGGUAAGCUGAUUGUGUAUUCAGUUUGUGUAUUCAGUGUAUUAAACUAUAUUUAAAUAGUAUGUAAGACUUUUUGGGACCCGAGAAGACAUCGACAGGGCAUUGGUACUGUGGCUGUGAGUCACCAGUUGCCACCCUGGCAGCCUUGAAAGCACACCCAGAAGUGCUCAGUGCACUCCCAGGCUAGGGUGUAAAACAAGAGAGAUCUAGCUCAUUACAGUUGGUUCCUCACUGAAACCAUUUGAGUCAAAUUUAUUUUAUUGUUGAAGGGAGCUUACACUGUAGCAAUACUGCAUUAAGAACAUUGUGGAUGGGACCUAUAAAUCCUGGAAUGAUUUCGCUUGUGAUGUGUAUGCCGUUGGGUAAUGUAGGCUGUAACUAUGAAUUAACCUAAAGAGGGAAGAUAGAGAUUGUAAGUUUUUUCACUGAUCCCCUCGUUCAUUUGUGCACCAACCAUUUCUAAAGGCUGAAUCUCUUCCGGAGAGGAGCCGAAUACACAGAGAUUUCUGGGGAAACCCCUGGCACUGGUGAUCGCUUGAAAUUGUGUGUGUGGAUGAUGAUGUGACAGAGUCUGGCCCACAGCCGCUCUUCAGUUGAUGAAAGAACAAAUACGCGCAUGAAUAAAUGAAAGAAAAAGAGGACACACCCGUUAACUGGGACAUCUCUGAUUUCAUGGUCCAUGAUAUAUUUCUAAGGAAAAAAAAUAAAUACGGUAAAAUGACAACACCCCAACAAGAUGAAACAUGGCAUUAACAAAUAUCAAGAUUUAAAUUAAAUAAGGGCAGACCAAAUGUGAUGGAUGCUCAUGGCAUAUGAGUCAGGAGGCACUUCAGAGAGCAUCUUAACAGGAUUUGAAUGUUGAAGCGGAAGGAAGGAUCUUGGCAAUUUUAAAUGACGAUAUAGAAAACAGAAACUCCGGGAUGAAUGAAGCCAAAGCAUGUGAGCAGAGAUGGACAGAGUGCCUGUGAAGAACCACUAGCAGGUGGUGAGGUAACUUUUGUAUACGAAGCGGAGGUCUGUCAAGGAAUCAUACCUCACAUCCAGUCAGUAGUUUGUCGGAAUAAAAUAUCGUGAAAUAGUUAAAAUAUAAUUUUAUUUGUGUGAAUUUUUUGUUUUGUUACUUUGUUUUUUUUAUAGUGUUUAUGUUACAUCAGGAAAAGAGAUUUGUGUGUUUCACUGCAGGAAGAUUUCACACCUGGAUCUGUCACAUACACUGAUGUCUUUAACGAAAAUAAAAAUAGAUCCUAUUUAUUGAAUUAUUGAGGUACAUAUUAUGUUGUCCACUUUCCAUGCCAUGCCUUAUAAUUCCCUUAUACUCUGAAGGUGAAUGAACUGUUUUAUACAUUUUAUGUAGAACAAUGGAAUUCCCUUGUACUUCAUCUGGUUAAGGGUCCGACAUUGUCACUUCUGUGGGGCAGGUUCAGUCCCUGGCCCAAGAACUUCUGCAUACUGACAAAAAAGAACAAUUAAAAAAAAGAAUAAUAAAAAAAUAAAAAUGGCUAGAACAGUUUUCAACUCUCUAGGAGAUACUUGAUAACACAUCUCAGGUUCCCAUUGUGAGAGAGUUGUUACCAUUUUUUUUGUCACUUAUUGUUGUUCUAAAUUUACCACCAGCAAAUCACCAGCCAAAUUAAAGUUGAGGAAAUAGAGAAUUAUAAUUUUCUGUUAAAAAUGGUGUCUGUGAAAACAAAAUUACACACAGAUUAUCUACAAAAAUAAUAGCGACUAAGACAAAACCCAGCCACUUUUACAUAAGAGACAUGGCCUAAGUGUACAAAAUUCUUAAACACUCAAAUGAAAAAUAAAAAGCAGUAAGUUUUCCAAUAAUGACAUGAAACUCCAAACAUGACAUCUUCAGUAAAAAUCAUAAGAACGAGGAAUAAUUUUCCAGUUGUAACACAAACAAAUAAAAACCUGCAGAGGGAUUCACUGUAUCUGUGAAUGUCAGUCGAAUAGUGUGAAUUGGGGAAAAAUUCUUCUCUGAGUAUAGGUGUUCACUUUAUUGAUGUUUUCUCUGACUCACUAAAGUGAAAAACAUUUUGGGAAAUGAAAUAUGUCUUAGAAUUUCAGAUUUUAUAAAUUUAAAGUCAUUGUUUUGAUCUUUAUUAUUGUGAAAUCCUCAUUGGGUGCAUAUUCUGGACUUGGCCCUGAGUAAAGAGGUAAAAAUUAGACAAAGGAUAUUGUGUUUAAGGGACCUCAAAUCUAACAAAAAAGCAAGUUUGUAGUGGAAGAUGGUUGGAUAUACAUGAUACAUAUGAAAUGUUAUUCAUUAUGGGAGAAGGUCAAUGUUUACCUUCUAUACUGUGCCAGGGUAUUAAAAUUUUCCUAAGUUUAGCCUUCAAGAAAUGUUCUUUGAAUCUGUUUCUAUAAAUGGGAUUACAAAUAAGAUAUUUAAUACAAUUAAAAUUUAAGGUAAUUCUGUCACUUUUUUACAUAGAAUGUAUUCCUCAAGAGACUGACGACUAGAUGCAGGAAGAGGAAACUAUAAAAUAAGAACCAGAACCCACCUAGCCCUUAACAUUGAGAGAGAGAUUAGAUCGGUAUCUGUCCUGUUUAAGCAUUUAGUCAACCUCUAUUUAAAGAGGAGAAUUUGCAGAAGGAGGGUUGUGGUAGCAUUAAUCCGUGUGUCCCUAGUUCAAAGACCUUUUGCGCUUAAACAGGCUCCUCUUGGGCUAUCCCACCUCUCCUUCAGGGGUCUGAGUACUUCUCUCUUUCAGAGCAGUUCCAGCUAGUGUGAGGUUUCCAGGGCUGACUCACUGCCCUAGCCUCUUCUCCCUGCUUUCAUCUUGGCUCCCCAGGGAGCCACCCGCUGGACUAUCCCUGCAUCCAACCCUGUUCUAGAAAAGAAUUCCAUAUUUUUGAGCAGCGUUUUCUGGGAUGUAGUCUUUGAAACUCUGGUUUUACAGAAUCUCUAUAUAGUCUCCCUUUCUGACACUAAGCCGGAUGUUUUGAAGAGCGUGUUCUCUUCUCUUUGAAGGUCAUGGUAUAUGAAUGCGCUCAGGAGCCCGAGAACUCCUUCAGUAGUGGCCUACUGCUUACCGUUAUUUGUUCCGGCUUUUAUACAGUUAAGGGUCCAUGGACUAAUUUUGCAAGGCAUACCCUUAGCACGAGCUCUGUAGGUUACAGUGUGGAAAUGCUGAAUUAGACUACUGUGACCUUAAUAUCCUUCACAGUCCUCGUGAGAAAUAGGCAGAAGUUCUAAAGACUGGGGAAGCCAUAUUUAGAAUUACAGCAGUUCGGUGAUAUCAGAAAAGUAGUGAGAUACGAAAUACUCAGAUUCCUUUCGUCAUUGUAACCCCUUCCCCUCUGGGAAUCUGUUUGGAUAGUGUGAACAACCAGCACAAUAUAAUUAGAGGUUGUGUUUGUGUGAAUUCGAGUAAUGUGGAGGUCUGAUCAGGUACUUAAGCUGUGGGGAGGUUUCAAAUGGAAACAGUGGAGAACCGAAACAGGAUGAGAAGAAAAGGCCAUGAGGAGAACGUUAAUGGCACCUUUAAUCCGUGGAGCCACAGGGAAGGUGGCUUUUCCUGUGGCAUAAGGGACACUAGAUGACCUCUGUGGGUCUUUGCACACCGGGGUCUCUGAUCCGCCAGACCAGGUGAAGACUUUUUCAGUCCUACUUCGUGUAGUGUGGGUGCUUGUGGGGUUUCUUUGGGUGAAUCUCUUUGGGAAGAUGAUGAAAAUCCAAGCAACUUCAGGUAGGAGGGGAGAGUAGUGUUUCUCAUAGAGCUUACUGAAGUACCACCAGUGGAGUUAAGUGUCAGGAGUUGCCUCAUGGGACAGUGACUAAUCACUGUGUGUCACCAGGGAGUAAAAUACAGUUUUUUCUACCUCGUGGUCAUAUUCGCUUUUGGAAGGCAGCUGCGCUUAUCACCAUACCACCAAUGCUGUUAUUUGCUUUGGAAUGAGAGACUCUGCCAGGAGGUUUCUGCCUGGAACUUGGAGGACAGUGGAAAGAACCCAUUAGCUCUGAGAUCACGGAAACUGCAUCCUAUCAUUCACUUCCAAGUACUGCCCAGAAACCAUAUAUUUAUCCUGUAAAAUAGCUCUUCCAAUGAAAGUUGUAAUGUUUGUAGUUUUUUUUUUUUUUUUCCCCAGGAGUGAAUAUUGCAAACAAUGAUCUGUUUAGAAUAUUUAUGGCCUUUUCUUAUUUAGAUCAUGGCACCUUGUGGAACGCAGUGGGUCUCACUGUCUCUUCCUUUCCAAAGUUCUUCAAGGCUUGCUCACAUAGCCGAUUUACUGAGCACUUCAUACAGGCCUGUUCAGUGCAGUUUCUUCUUUCCUGCUCAUAGCAAAGCCUCUGAGGGGGACGUUACUAUUAUCAGCAUCACUCUCUUACAGGUCACAUAGCUUCUCGUGGCUGAGGCCAGCGCCGUCUCCGGGACAAGAAUUUUUCACAGCUGCUCUGUGUGACUGUUUUCCCAUCUUGUAAAGUGGAUCCUAAAGAAAGAAAUACAUCAUUCUCUAGACCCUGAUGUGUUCUGACCACUCGCCUGUGUUUUGCACAAAGCAUCUCCCCAAACAAAUCCCAGAUUAUUAAUGGUGAACUUAGCCAGUGGCUAAUCUGUUUAAUGAUUAUGUCUACAUCUGUUAAGAAAACACAUAAAUCAUUUGGGAAACCAUUCAUAAUAAAAAAGAAAAAAGACCGCAUGUAGCUGUGUUUCAUCACGGCCAGCUUGAGACAGCUUGUUUUUUUUGACCAUCUCCUUUAUAAUUGGGGUUGUUAAAGAGAUUACUGAAGUAUUAAAUAGGCCAGUUUAUGACAAAGCAACAAAUUGAAAAGAAAGAAAAAAUAUUUAGUUCUAUUUAAGCAUUAUUCCUCCGUAAAUCGGUGCCUCCAAAAUUGUUAAACAUCUCUCCCACACCUUAAAACAAAAACAUCAAUGAGAAAUUCAUAUUUCACUUCUAAUCCAGAUUUUGCUGAAAGCAGUGAAACGGAACCACUUUGUUGUGUUUUAAACAUUUUGGUUUCUAAGGCAUUUUUCAUAAAAUACUGUUAAAGAUUAUUCCCACUAAGUGAUUAGAGAUGAACAUUUCCAGUAGUUUGAGGGAGGCGGUCUAGCUCGGCGUGUGACCUGGGUUGCACUCGUGUCCACGGUCAGCCGCCUGCCCAUGGACCACUGCCAGGAGAACAGGAGCCACUGCUUUGCAGAAUCGCUUGACGGCUAGUGGGAAGGUGCGGGCAAGGCUGGCCCAGGGCAGGGUCCCUGAGGGGUUAGGGAGUGCUGCUAGUGCCGUUAUCAGAUGCUAGGGCUGUGAGUAAGAUCACAUGUUCUCAGGUGUUUUCUAGUCAGAUGUCCAUUCGGUCAUUUCAGCACUGCACAAAUUGAAUGGAAUGUCUGACUUAAAAUGUUUGUUCUUAAAAAUCUGUGCAUAUUUAACACGUUUCAGAAAUAUGAAAGAUGGGGGGAAAGCCCUGCGCACGCCCGCCGUGCUCGUCAUUCUCACAUCAUCCUUUCUUGUCUGCAUGUUUUCUAAUGAUGGGGAGAUUCCUGGCACUGUCGUUUUAGAAGUUUUUUUUUUCCCUCUUCCCUCAUUAUGGCUCCUUUGCUGUGAUGAGUCAUUUUACUUUUUCCCAAAGAGCUGGCUUCCCAGGGGAUUCUGUCUGUUAGUUUUCUUAGCCUGACACUUCCACACUCACCUUAAGAGAGAAUUUCAGGCAACUGGCCAAAAUCACACAUGAUUUGUCUGUGUCAGUAUUGUCCUGCUGCUUCUCUGAAUCUACUCAAGUUUGUCUCCUUCAAAAUUAAUUAAGUUCUCAAAAAAGGGACAUUUAGGUUUUUUUUAAUAUAAAACUGUGCAGCACUUUUAAUUUAGAAAAAUUAAUUAUGUAAACAUUCUUAAAAUGUAAAAAAGUCUUUAUUUAAAAAGAAAAAUGUGUGUUCGAUUUCUGCCUCCUGAACAUAAAAAUCGUUUUUUUAGAGACUUCACUGUUGCUUGUGAUUUGACAGAGUUGCAGUCAUAAUGCGAUGAUGUUUAAUGCCGAGAUCACUUUCAGUUCCUCCACGUUACCUUCAUGCUCAGCCAAUAGUUAAAGAAGCUGUGAAAGAAGGUCAGGGAUUUGGGCAUUACAGAGAAAUGCUGGACACUGGCAGGAGCCAGAUAAGUUAUAGAUUUGGGUGAUAAAGGUAUGGCCUCUGGAGUUUGAUGCCAUGAGCUCAGGAGCCAGCUCUGUUCAGAGACGUUGCCAAAACUCCGCCUUUGUCCACCAGUGCUGAACAGAAACAAGGAGACGGAGUUUUGAGUGAAGGAGAAAAAAAUAGCUUUUAUGGCUCUGCAAGGCUAUUGCCUUAAAGACUGUUCCCCUCUUUGAGGAAAAAUACAGAGAAUUUUAUAGUCUAAAAGGAGAAAAACAGGGUUUCAGAUAAGAAUCAGGACUGGGGCAAACAUGCAUUCUUUUUUCAGGGAAUCUUAGUCAUCCUCGAAGCUGGUGUCAGGAGAUCUCAGCGUGAUUCCAGGGUGGUCUUCUGGGGUAUGGCGCCUUAACUUCUCCUAGAGUAACAAUGCUUGCGAAAACAGCAUGUUGAUCAGAGAUUAGAACAAAUUCGGAAAGUUCCUGAAAAACGUCAUGUGCGUAUAAUCUUUAACUCACAGGCGAUUGUGCUCAGGGUGCCUAAUCCAUAGGUGAUUAUGUUUAGGGCGCAGUCCAGCAGCAUAAGGCAGAAGCCCAAGGAAGGUCUCCAAGCUGUUCAGUUGUAAAGUGUCCAUCCCUAAAGAAGUGUAGGGAAUGUAACUUUUCUCUUAGGUGUGUAAGAUGCCUACAUCAUUCCAUGUCUCCCUUGAGAGGGAACCCGGAUCAUGGCCCAAGGCUGUGCUGUUGUUGUUUGACUGUUCUUCCCUUGUCUCCGCAUCCCCUCUCUUCUCAUCAGCAACUGUCUGAACCUGCCCCCUUGGAACUCAGGGAAGGCCAUGGAAGCUGAAUGAGGCCCAUUUCCUAAAAAAAAGAAAUGAGGGGAGUUCCCGUUGUGGCUCAGCAGAA